rnacentral:rRNA from 1 species
GGCGGACGGGUGAGUAAUGUCUGGGAAACUGCCUGAUGGAGGGGGAUAACUACUGGAAACGGUAGCUAAUACCGCAUAAUGUCGCAAGACCAAAGAGGGGGACCUUCGGGCCUCUUGCCAUCAGAUGUGCCCAGAUGGGAUUAGCUAGUAGGUGGGGUAACGGCUCACCUAGGCGACGAUCCCUAGCUGGUCUGAGAGGAUGACCAGCCACACUGGAACUGAGACACGGUCCAGACUCCUACGGGAGGCAGCAGUGGGGAAUAUUGCACAAUGGGCGCAAGCCUGAUGCAGCCAUGCCGCGUGUAUGAAGAAGGCCUUCGGGUUGUAAAGUACUUUCAGCGAGGAGGAAGGCGAUAAGGUUAAUAACCUUGUCGAUUGACGUUACUCGCAGAAGAAGCACCGGCUAACUCCGUGCCAGCAGCCGCGGUAAU